UAAUACGAAGGUGGCAAGCGUUGUUCGGAAUCACUGGGCUUAAAGCGCACGCAGGCGGAACAGAAAGUGUCUUGUGAAAGCCCCCGGCUUAACCGGGGAAUUGCUCGGCAAACUCCUGUUCUUGAGUCAAGUAGGGGUACAUGGAACUCUUAGUGGAGCGGUGGAAUGCGUAGAUAUUAAGAGGAACGCCAAUGGUGAAGACAGUGUACUGGGCUUGUACUGACGCUGAGGUGCGAAAGCGUGGGGAGCGAACGGGAUUAGAUACCCCGGUAGUCCACGCCGUAAACGAUGUCUACUAGGUUGUGGAGGUUCUGACACACCCACAGCCGGAGCAAAAGUGUUAAGUAGACCGCCUGGGGAGUACGGUCGCAAGGCUA
rnacentral:rRNA from 1 species